GAAGCUGACCAGACAGUCGCCGCUUCGUCGUCGUCCUUUCGGGGAGACGGGCGGAGGGGAGGAAAGUCCGGGCUCCAUAGGGCAGGGUGCCAGGUAACGCCUGGGGGGGAAACCCACGACCAGUGCAACAGAGAGCAGACCGCCGAUGGCCCACGUAAGUGGGAUCAGGUAAGGGUGAAAGGGUGCGGUAAGAGCGCACCGCGCGGCUGGUAACAGUCCGUGGCACGGUAAACUCCACUCGGAGCAAGGCCAAAUAGGGGUUCAUAAGGUACGGCCCGUACUGAACCCGGGUAGGCUGCUUGAGCCAGUGAGCGAUUGCUGGCCUAGAUGAAUGACUGUCCACGACAGAACCCGGCUUAUCGGUCAGUUUCACUU
rnacentral:RNase_P_RNA from 1 species